rnacentral:pre_miRNA from 1 species
GUACAGAUGUGGAUAUAGGAGGGUUAGUUAGCACAUAUAUACAAAACCCAUUUAAUAGAGUUUCUGUGAGAGCAUCUUAUUGUAGAUUGUUGGCUAUUCGAGAUCAAACAACCGUGUUCAAUCAAAUGCAUUUUGAUGGCCAUACUCAUCAAAUGGGUUGUCUGUUUGUCUUUACCAGCCCUUCUGCUAUCCACAACCGUAU